UACGAAGGGUGCAAACGUUGCUCGGAAUUAUUGGGCGUAAAGCGCACGUAGGCGGCUUGGCAAGUCGGAUGUGAAAUCCCUCGGCUCAACCAAGGAAGUGCAUCCGAAACUGCUGAGCUUGAGUACGAAAGAGGAUCGCGGAAUUCCCGGUGUAGAGGUGAAAUUCGUAGAUAUCGGGAGGAACAUCUGUGGCGAAGGCGACUGCCUGGACCAGCACUGACACUGAGGCACGAAAGCGUGGGGAGCAAACAGG
rnacentral:rRNA from 1 species